AACGAACGCUGGCGGCAGGCUUAACACAUGCGAGUCGAACGCCCCGCAAGGGGAGUGGCAGACGGGUGAGUAACGCGUGGGAAUCUACCGUACCCUACGGAACAACAGUUGGAAACGACUGCUAAUACCGUAUACGCCCUUAGGGGGAAAGAUUUAUCGGGGUAUGAUGAGCCCGCGUUGGAUUAGCUAGUUGGUGGGGUAAAGGCCUACCAAGGCGACGAUCCAUAGCUGGUCUGAGAGGAUGAUCAGCCACCUUGGGACUGAGACACGGCCCAAACUCCUACGGGAGGCAGCAGUGGGGAAUAUUGGACAAUGGGCGCAAGCCUGAUCCAGCCAUGCCGCGUGAGUGAUGAAGGUCUUAGGAUUGUAAAGCUCUUUCACCGAUGAAGAUAAUGACGGUAGUCGGAGAAGAAGCCCCGGCUAACUUCGUGCCAGCCGCCGCGGUAAAAC
rnacentral:rRNA from 1 species